GGGUGUCGUUAAUAGCGGCAUCUCUUGACGUUAGCUGCAGAAGAAGCACCGGCUAACUCCGUGCCAGCAGCCGCGGUAAUACGGAGGGUGCGAGCGUUAAUCGGAAUUACUGGGCGUAAAGCGCAUGCAGGUGGUUUGUUAAGUCAGAUGUGAAAGCCCGGGGCUCAACCUCGGAACUGCAUUUGAAACUGGCAAACUAGAGUACUGUAGAGGGGGGUAGAAUUUCAGGUGUAGCGGUGAAAUGCGUAGAGAUCUGAAGGAAUACCAGUGGCGAAGGCGGCCCCCUGGACAGAUACUGACACUCAGAUGCGAAAGCGUGGGGAGCAAACAGGAUUAGAUACCCUGGUAGUCCACGCC
rnacentral:rRNA from 1 species